CGCCAGACUCCUACGGGAGGCAGCAGUGGGUCCUCUUGCACAAUUUUCGCCAGCCUGAUGCCGCCAUGCCGCGUGUCUGAAGAAGGCCUUCGGGUUGUAACUUACUUUCAGCGGGGAGGAAGGUGUUGCGGUUAAUAACCUCAGCAAUUGACGUUACCCGCAGAAGAAGCACCGGCUAACUCCGUGCCAGCAGCCGCGGUAAUACGGAGGGUGCAAGCGUUAAUCGGAAUUACUGGGCGGAAAGCGCACGCAGGCGGUCUGUCAAGGCGGAUGUGAAAUCCCCGGGCUCAACCGGGGAACUGCAUUCGAAACUGGCAGGCUGGAGUCGGGGAGAGGGGGGGAGAAUUCCAGGUGGAGCGGUGAAAUGCGGAGAGAUCUGGAGGAAGACCGGUGGCGAAGGCGGCCCCCUGGACAAAGACUGACGCGCAGGUGCGAAAGCGGGGGGAGCAAACAGGAGGAGAUACCCGCGUACC
rnacentral:rRNA from 1 species